AAGCAGAAGAAGUGACUGUACCUGAAUCACCAUCUUCCCCUACUAAUCCUGGAGAGAAGAGUCCUGGGAAACAGAAAAAGGAGGCCCAUGAAAGCAAAGGGAUUUCCCGCUUUCUGCCACCAUGGCUCAAGAAGCAAAAGUCCCAAAGCCAAAUGGAGCCUAAACAUGAGGGCGCAGACAAAGUGGAUGGUUUAGCUGAGGGAACGCAGGAAAAGGAAGGUGAACUGAAGAGUAAAGAUGAUCCCUCCGGAGAAGCUCAGCCUGUUGUGCCUGAGGCAGAGAGUCCAGAGAAGAAAGCUGAUGCUAGCAGUUCAGAUUUACAUGGGACUACAAUGGAACACGAUGAGCUAGAAACUGAAAAACUCAGCAAAAAGGACAAACAAGAUGAUGAUGAACAGGACAAACAAGAUGAAGAAAAAAAUGACAAAAAGGUUGAUGAAGAAAAGGACAAAGCUGGAGAAGUAAAAGAAAUAAAAGAGAAGCUUCCAGCUGACACUAAGAAAGACAUUCCCUCUAAAUCCCCUAAAAAAGUGAAAACUGUCCCAUGUAAAGUGACCUUGUUGGAUAAAACAGAAUAUAUCUGUGAAAUAGAGAAACGUACAAAAGGACAGACAUUGUUUGGGAAGGUUUGUGAGCAUCUCAACCUACUGGAAACAGAUUAUUUUGGAUUGAUCUACUAUGACAGCGGAAACCAGAAGAACUGGCUAGAUCCUGCAAAGGAAAUAAAAAGACAAAUUCGAAGUUUGCCAUCGCAGUUUGUGUUUAACGUCAAGUUUUACCCACCAGAUCCAUCUCAGUUGACUGAAGACAUAACAAGGUACUUCUUGUGCCUUCAGCUUCGUCAAGAUAUUGCUUCUGGACGUCUGCCAUGUUCAUUUGUCACCCAUGCAUUACUUGGCUCCCUCACAUUACAGGCUGAAGUUGGAGAUUAUGAUACAGAAGAGCACAGUACUGACUAUGCGAAAGACUUCCAGUUUGCACCCAACCAAACAAAGGAACUGGAAGACAAAAUUGUGGACUUACACAAAACACACAGAGGUCUCACACCAGCACAAGCAGACAUUGCUUUUUUAGAAAAUGCUAAGAAGUUAUCAAUGUAUGGCGUGGAUAUGCAUCAUGCUAAGGACUCUGAAGCUGUGGAUAUAAUGCUUGGUGUUUGUGCAAAUGGACUUCUCAUUUAUAAAGACAGACUUCGAAUUAAUCGAUUUGCCUGGCCAAAGAUUCUGAAAAUUUCCUACAAGCGCAGCAAUUUUUUCAUAAAAGUGAGACCUGGUGAGCUGGAACAGUUUGAGAGCACCAUUGGGUUCAAACUGCCAAACCAUCGUGCAGCUAAGAGAUUGUGGAAAGUCUGUGUGGAGCAUCAUACAUUCUACAGACUUUCAUCUCCUGAACAGCCACCUAAAGCCAGAUUCUUGACUCUGGGAUCUAAGUUCCGGUAUAGUGGCCGUACACAGGCACAGACUCGAGAUGCGAGCACAAGAAUAGACAGACCGGCCCCUUACUUUGAACGUACAUCUAGCAAACGAGUGUCCAGGAGUCUUGACGGAGCUCCAAUUGGAAGUAUCACUGAUCAGAGCCUUCUGAAGGAGGUCCCUGUACCUGGUGGGGGCACUGCUGUUGAUGGCAUAGUGUCUGGACCAGAGGCUGCAACACAAGAAGCUCAAGAUGGAGUAUCAACACCCAGUACUCCCUCAGUAUUUGCCAAUGAUACUAAGCUCAGUCUCCCAUCAUCACAGUUACCCAUUCACUGCAGCCAUACCAUUUCAGCAAACCUGCCUUCCAUCCCUGAGAUGGACUUGCCUUCAGAUAUUUCAGAUGAUGAUGCAGUGGAGGAGCAACUUGAAAUAUCCUCUAGUGGUGAUGGCAUACAUUUCAAAGAGUGCACUACCAAGGAAAUUACACCAAUCCACAAUGAGUUGCUAUCAAAAGUGUUGGAAAAUACCGCUGAUGCAGGCAGCCAGAUUUCCCCUCUAGCGGUUUACAAUAGCCAUCUGUCUGUAAAAUACAAGGCAGUAGAAUGUGGCUUCUUUUCAUUCAGCUUCUGCAACAUUUUCUCUUCCUUGCUUGAUGAGGAUGGAUACAUUAGCUUCCCAAGUCUCCCAGAUGUUUGUAUGUCUUUCCUGCCAUCAAGUCUGCAGCACUAUGUUCCUCUUACUUCUCCUUCCUUCAUACCAUCUCUUGUCCUCAUCUUUGUGCUUCUCCUUUCAACCUCUCAGUCCGUCCCAUUUUCAUUGAUUCUUUCUCUUCCUCUUGCGCUGUCUCUUUGCUACCUGGAGCCUAAGGCGAAUCCAUUGGGCUCUUUUUAUGACCCUGACCUGAAUGAGAAAGCAGGGGAAGAGCCGGAAAAAGAAGAGGAUGAGACUCCAAUACAACAGGAUCUGGAUAAAUCACAAGUGGAGGUUUUGAAACAUCAGGCUAGCAUUAGUGAGCUCAAGCGCACUUUCAUGGAGUCUACACCUGAGCCACGCCCCAACGAAUGGGAAAAACGCUGUGUCACUCCAAUACCUCUGCAGACACACGGGAGCCUAGAAGAGGAGAUAACAUCCAUUCUGUUUAGUAAAGAUCGAUUUCCAACCUUGUGUUCUAACCAGCGGACAACAGAGGGCAAUAUUUUGAAUGAUAGGGUACCCAGUGACACAUUUUGUGUGUCUCACUCUUCACCACUCUAUGAGAAACUUUUACCCAGAACAAGAGGGAUGCGCACUGGACUGAGUGAUGCUCUUGAGAAUUCAGAUGAGAUACAGAAUAUAGUGGAAGAGAAAAAGCAGGCACAUUCUGACUAUACAAAUACCCCUGUCAAGGAAGACCUAAAAGCUGGAAUAAAUGGACAUAUUGAACACCAUAGCUAUGUCCAUGAACAGAUUGCUGAAGUAAAAGACUUGGAUAAAAAUGAAACCCAGUCAGUUUCUUCAUAUGACAGCAGUAGCGAAAGUGACAAUGAAGAAGUAGAAUACAAAGCUGAAAGUAGAGUUUCCGAACAUGUUAUUCAAGAAGAGCCUGAAGAAAGUGCAGAAGAUGUAAAGGAAGUUGAACCAGUUGAGGAGUCUGAGAUAAAUGAAGACCAUACUGUGACGUUGACAGUUACAGAAAUACAAGAAAAGACAGAAGUCAUAUCCCAGGAAAUUACAGUUAGUACUUUUGAAACUGAAGAAAAAGUUGAAGAAGUGCCUGAAGGUGUCUCAGAGGAACAGAACAAAAUUAAUGGCGAUGUUUCACACGUUGAUGUUGAUGCUUCUGCCCAAAUUAUUUGUUGUUCUGAGCCUCCAGUGGUGAAAACAGAGAUGGUCACCAUUUCUGAUGCCACACAAAGGACUGAAAUUUCAACAAAAGAAGUCCCCAUAGUUCAAACUGAGACAAAAACGAUUACCUUCGAAUCUGCUCAGCUGGAUGGUGGAGACAGUGAGCCAGGAAUCUUACUGAGUGCUCAGACAAUCACAUCUGAUUCUGUUCUAACCACUACGACAACACACAUCACCAAGACUGGAAAAGGUGGGAUAUCUGAAACAAGAAUUGAAAAACGGAUUGUUAUCAGUGGAGAUGCAGACAUCGACCAUGAUGAGGCAUUAGCACAAGCAAUUAAAGAAGCCAAAGAGCAACACCCUGACAUGUCUAUAACUCGUGUGGUGGUGCACAAAGAGACUGAGGUUACUGAAGAAGGUGAAGAGGAUUAACCAGAUGCUCUAUACAGGGCUUCACAACCCUGAAAGAAGAUUUUAUGAUAACAUUUGUAGGAUUGAUUUGGAUGAAAAGAGAAUUUUUACUUUGGCAAUCAAUAACUCUUAUUGAAGUCCACAAAGAUUACAGUAUGAGGAAUUUCAGCCACACAACUGUGUCCUGCUGCUAAAGUUACAAUAGACCAGGAUCGGCAAGCAUGACAGGACACCUAAAGGUUAAGAUGCCAACGUACAACCUCAGCUUAACACCUGACUUGCGCUUUUUCAAUUCUUUCUGCUUGUUUAAUUUUGAUAACCACUUCCUAACCUUCAUAGCUUUAUAGUAGAGUUUUGUUUGCACAACUACUUUCUAUUUUUGUAAUUCUUGGUUGUAUGUUUGUGAACAAUAACCUUUUAAAAAAAACAAAACAAUAAAAACAGACCUCUGAUCUGAGGAUGCAGAAAUCUGUGUAACUAAUGUAGUUUUCCCACUUUUUUUGUACUUUUUCUUUUUUUCUUUUUUAACGUCUUAAUGAACACCUCUUUGUGAGGUCAUUUGCAUAUUUACAGAAUAUUGAGGUGGAUUUUUUGUACACGUUUCUUACAGGUUCCAAUCCACUUUCACAUUCAUUGGUGUUUAUUUUUUUUUCUACCACCACUUGUGUUUUAAAGGUUUAUUUCGAGUUGAGAGGUCAAACAGUUGCAAUACUGCUUUUUUUAAAUCUCAUUCUAAAAACUUUCCAGUGGACAUUUUAUAUGUAUUUGAAGUUUUUAUUGCUACAUAGUAUGAAGGAGGUCAACAGAGGGAUGGCAGUAAGUUAGAUAUUAUAUCAUUAAUUCUGCCCAGCUGAAAUGAACACUGCCUUUGCAUUUUAGAGAAAUACAACUGAAACACAUUCCAGGAAAGAUGAUACAAAUGUACCAUCUCUCCCAAAAAGAGGUAAACAUUUGGCAGCUUGAAGCAAUAUUGUGCUGUUUGUUAAUGUAUCUGUUAAACCCAUGUUAUUGAAAUCACAUAUGUAAAACACUUGUUUUUUUUAUCUGUGUGUACAUUGUAGAGCUGUCAGAAACCUAGUUAAACUGAUGUACCUUUCAAUGCUUUGUUAUGAUUUAUACAGGUUUUGGCAUGCAGAAAGAUACAACACUUUCUGAUUUUGCCUGUGACUACACUCACCUUGGUUACAUUAGGAAAUGUGUAUUUUGUUUCUCUCCUCUUCAUUUACAGUUGACUGUGUAUAGUUAAACUACCAAAUUAGAUUCAUAGCAGCUUUAAAUUGUAUUAAGAAUAUUUUACUUUCUGUAAUACGGUUAAAAUAAAGUUUGUUUAUUCUAUUGAAUACUUGUACAUGUUUAGCUACUUGUUAAAUAUUUCCAAAUCUAAUAAAGAAAAAAUGCAUUGGACACAUGGAAAUGAUCCCUGCCCUUUUCCUUG